rnacentral:rRNA from 1 species
UACGUAGGGUGCGAGCGUUGUCCGGAAUUAUUGGGCGUAAAGAGCUCGUAGGCGGUGUGUCACGUCGAUCGUGAAAACUUACAGCUUAACUGUGAGCGUGCGGUCGAUACGGGCAUCACUGGAGUUCGGCAGGGGAGACUGGAAUUCCUGGUGUAGCGGUGAAAUGCGUAGAUAUCUGGAGGAACACCGGUGGCGAAGGCGGCGUCCUGGACCAACACUGACACUGAGGAGCGAAAGCCAGGGGAGCAAACGGG